AGUUGGCAAAAUGCAAAGACAAGAAUAUGGGUCUCAACGAAAUGUAUUCCCUUGCUUUGUCAAAAUUCCCUAUUCCAGGAGAUGCUUCAUUUCCUCUCAAUGCUGUUUAUGCCAGGGCCAAGAAUGAUGCUGAAUUAGGGAGCAAAGGAUACAUUUGGUUCGCUACAAAUUUCGCUGAAUGGAAAUUUUGGAAAUACCAUUGUUUUGGAUUCAUCUUUGAGACCCAACCAGUUAUUUCUGAUACACUUCAGUAUGUGUACACUAUCAAACAAGAAAAACAAAGGUCUGCAUUUUGCAGCUGGAUGGGGAACUCAUGCAGCAAUAUCUUCAGCAGCUGAGACAGGAGACAGGUCUCCGAGUCUGUGAACGAGUCUUCAACACAGCCGACGGUAAA